AGGCAGGGGACGUUCAACCGUUCCCUGCCUAUCACAACUCUUUUUUCUAAGAGUAACAUAUUAAUUAUGUAAUUUUUUUAUUUUAUUUUAUUUAAAAAAAAAAAAAAAAAACUCUUCUAAACCUUAUGCUCUUAUCAAGAGAUAUUAUUUGAGCCAAGAGUUAUUUUAUUAUAAUAUUUUCAUAAUUUCAAAAGUUACAAAUUUUUAAAAAAUUCUUUUUGAAUAAGAUUUUUUUAAAGAAUAAAUCAACACACAUACUAGAAUAUUUAUAUUUCAAGGGCGAGACCUAUUCAAUAUUGAUAGUGAUUCAUGGAUCUAAUCUCAAUAAAUAGACAUUCUCAAAAUUAGAGAAUGUCUAGUAUGGGAGAAAGAUGAUCAGGAGUACUAGGAAAAGUAUGACAAAAUUUAUGUUGGUGAUGAUGGAGUUGAUUAUCCUCGUAAUACUUGAAGUGCAUGCUAAUGACUCCACCGUUCACUCUUCCGUUCUCACUCCACCACGAACCAGCCUUCAUCCCUUCCAAUUUGAUAAUGAGAACAAGACUUAUAUCCAUCAUUGUCUUGAAAGCACAAUUGAAGUAUGUGAAAAAAGACAACAUAUGAUGAUGUGCGUUGGUCAUUUACUUUUUAAAUGCCUUCUCAAAGACCCAAGGCUUCACAAAGAUAAUCCCCUUAAACUUCAUGCUAUUAUGGAGGUGUGCAUUUAUGAUUGUCUCUCGGAACUUGAAGCUAGUAAUUACCUCAGGUAUGCAGGAUGUUUAGUAAACCACUAUGAAGAGUAUAUCAAGCUAUGAAGAGUAUAUCAAGAAUUGGUAGCUUCGAGUUUGACAAAAAGUUUACAUACCCCGGGAACUCAUUCGUUCAAUCAACAAGGGGAUCGAGAUAGAGCGGUUACUCCAACAAUUUAUACUUUAUGGGUGUUCUUAGACAACAAAGCCUUAACUCCAGUAGACUUUCCUUAUCCCGAAGUGGAGCAUAGUGCGCUUUAGGCGCCGAGCGAGAAACUUCUCUUAUUUUGUUUCAGUUUAUUCACUGAUCUUAAACUUAACACUUGUUUUCUUAUUAAUUCCGAUAGAUUUUUGUAUUAAAAUGGAUGCGUAUUUGCACAUGUAA